rnacentral:tRNA from 3 species
GGGCGUUUAGCUCAGCCUGGUUAGAGCGCUUCCCUUACAAGGAAGAAGUCGGCGGUUCGAAUCCGUCAACGCCCA